rnacentral:tRNA from 1 species
AUUUAAGUAGUUUAUAUAAAUAAAAAUAUUGAGUUGUGGACUCAAAGAAAUAGGUUUAUCUUGAAUG